rnacentral:lncRNA from 1 species
GAGGCUGUGUUUCGUGUGAAAUUAACAUUACUCAAAAUUUCUUUUCUCUUUUCUCUAAUAGGACCACCCCUAUGCAUUGCCUGCAUCUCCCACUGGUCUAAAGACCAGACUCUGUGAAGCCUUGGCUAGAGUGGAGAGUCUAGAGCACGAGUUGAGGAAUGUAAAGGACCGGGAACGGAGGGCAAAGAAGACUGUGUGAUCUUCUAGAGGAUCUGCAGGGAAAGAACCUCAUAAAUGAAGAUCUGAAAGAGAGACUCAGUUUCUACUCUGAUCUUCCGGUAGACCUCUUGACAAAACAGGGCUAUGAGUACACAAAAGAGCAGAGGGAGUUUGCCCUCACUCUUCAUUUACAUGGUCUAAAAGCCUACAAUUAUUUGAGGAAA